rnacentral:rRNA from 1 species
UCCCCUAGUAACUGCGAGUGAAGCGGGAAAAGCUCAAAUUUAAAAUCUGAUGGUCUUUGUGGCCUUCCGAGUUGUAAUCUAGAGAAGUGCUAUCCGCGCUGGACCGUGUACAAGUCUCCUGGAACGGAGCGUCAUAGAGGGUGAGAAUCCCGUCUUUGACACGGACUACCAGGGCUUAUGUGAUGCGCUCUCAAAGAGUCGAGUUGUUUGGGAAUGCAGCUCUAAAUGGGUGGUAAAUUCCAUCUAAAGCUAAAUAUUGGCGAGAGACCGAUAGCGAACAAGUACCGUGAGGGAAAGAUGAAAAGAACUUUGGAAAGAGAGUUAAACAGUACGUGAAAUUGUUGAAAGGGAAACGCUUGAAGUCAGUCGCGUUGGCCAGGAAUCAACCUCGCUCUUGCUUGGCGUACUUUCUGGUCAAUGGGUCAGCAUCAAUUUUGACCAGUGGAUAAAGGUCAGGGGAAUGUGGCAUCCUCGGAUGUGUUAUAGCCCUUGGUUGCAUACAUUGGUUGGGAUUGAGGAACUCAGCACGCCGCAAGGCCGGGUUUUUAACCACGUACGUGCUUAGGAUGCUGGCAUAAUGGCUUUAAUCGACCCGUCUUGAAACACGGACCAAGGAGUCUAACAUGCACGCGAGUGUUUGGGUGGAAAACCCGAGCGCGUAAUGAAAGUGAAAAUUGAGAUCCCUGUCGUGGGGAGCAUCGAUGCCCGGACCAGACCUUUUGUGACGGUUCCGCGGUUGAGCGUGUAUGCUGGGACCCGAAAGAUGGUGAACUAUGCCUGAAUAGGGUGAAGCCAGAGGAAACUCUGGUGGAGGCUCGUAGCGAUUCUGACGUGCAAAUCGAUCGUCAAAUUUGGGUAUAGGGGCGAAAGACUA